rnacentral:rRNA from 2 species
GACGUAGGGUGCGAGCGUUGUCCGGAAUUACUGGGCGUAAAGAGCUCGUAGGUGGUUUGUCGCGUUGUUCGUGAAAUCUCACGGCUUAACUGUGAGCGUGCGGGCGAUACGGGCAGACUAGAGUACUGCAGGGGAGACUGGAAUUCCUGGUGUAGCGGUGGAAUGCGCAGAUAUCAGGAGGAACACCGGUGGCGAAGGCGGGUCUCUGGGCAGUAACUGACGCUGAGGAGCGAAAGCGUGGGGAGCGAACAGG